GACGAACGCUGGCGGCGCGCUUAACACAUGCAAGUCGAACGGAAAGGCCUGCUUUCCCUUGUGGAUUGCGGGUACUCGAGUGGCGAACGGGUGAGUAACACGUGAGUGAUCUGCCCCCAACUUGGGUAUAAGCCUGGGAAACUGGGUCUAAUUCCCGAUAGGACUGCAGGGUGGUGCCUGUGGUGGAAAACGAUUUUCUAGUGGUUGGGGAUGAGCUCGCGGCCUAUCAGCUUGUUGGUGGGGUAAUGGCCUACCAAGGCGGCGACGGGUAGCCGGCCUGGGAGGGUGGACGGGCAAAUUGGGACUGAGAUACGGCCCCGAAUACUACGGGAGGCAGCAGUGGGGAAUAUUGCACAAUGGGCGGAAGCCUGAUGCAGCGACGCCGCGUGGGGGAUGACGGUCUUCGGGUUGUAAACUCCUUUCGACCGCGAGGAAGCCACCUGGUUGGAAGGGUGGUGACGGUAGUGGUAGAAGAAGCACCGGCUAACUACGUG
rnacentral:rRNA from 1 species